UUUUUUUUCAGCUGCAGCCUGGGGCAUGUGGGAUUUGAAUUCCCUGACCAGGGAUGGAAGCGUGGAGUCUUAACUGCUGGACUGCCAGGGAAGUCCCAAGAAUGGCCUUGUUGAUAAUUGUUGAAGCUGGAGAUGUGAAGUGUUUAAAACAGCCUAGAUACUAAGAGGUAAUGAAAUGGAAAAGAACGGACAAACGACAAGAAGCUUUAAAAAGGGGCCGCCACGGGGACAUCUCUGCACGAGGCUUGGCUGCUGUAUUUGGAAGCUCUAUGGACCCCUCUAGAAAACACUGGCCAACUUUACUUCAGUGUCUUCAAGUCUGGUCAUAGUCCCCCCUGGCAUUUUCUAACCUGGUUUUAACUGCCCUGCCACCUCUUUCAUAAAAUAUCCAUUUUCUCGGACUUCCCUGGCGGUCCAGUGGCUAAGACUCUUUGCUCCCAAUGCAGGGGGCCCAGGAUCGAUCCCUGGUCAGGGAACUAAGAUUCCAUGGACCGCAACUAAGGGUUCGCAUACCAGACUGCAGAUCCCAUGUGCUGCCAACUUAGACUCGACACAGCCACGUAGAGCAUUCUGGAGUGCCUUUAGUGAAAUUCCCUGCUGCUGCUAAGUCACUUCAGUCAUGUCUGACUCUGUGUGACCCCAUAGACCCAUAGCCCACCAGGCUCCUCUGUCCCUGGGAUUCUCCAGAUGGUGCUGCCUACCUGCACGAUUUCAAC
ensembl:lncRNA